GCAUGCCGAACUAUAAUUUAUGAAACAGAGCUCGUUUAAUCAGCCAAUCGGUUGGCUUCUCCCUAACAAGUCUAACUGGCUCUGAAGGGCAGAAAGCACUGCAACAGAACAAUAAAAAAGAGACGAUAUCCCACACGCUAAGCUGCUUAGCGUGGAAUUGCUUUCUGUGACAGGAGUCUGGUGGGGGAGGGAAGCAGUCUCUCCCAUUCUCCCUCUCUUUUUAAAACAGAGUAACAGGUGAUCUGCUUCCAUGUA